rnacentral:rRNA from 1 species
UACGGAGGGUGCGAGCGUUGUCCGGAAUCAUUGGGCGUAAAGGGCGCGUAGGUGGCCCGGUCAGUCUUUGGUGAAAGCGCGGGGCUCAACCCUGCGUCGGCCAGGGAUACUGCCGCGGCUCGAGCACUGUAGAGGCAGGCGGAAUUCCGGGUGUAGCGGUGGAAUGCGUAGAGAUCCGGAAGAACACCGGAGGCGAAGGCGGCUUGCUGGGCUCGGUCGUGACGCUGAGGCGCGAAAGCGUGGGGAGCGAACAGG